UGGCGCACGGGUGAGUAACACGUAGGUAAUGUGCCUUUGGGUGGGGAAUAACUUAGGGAAACUUAAGCUAAUACCGCAUAAUGCGAUAACUUCUUCGGAAGAUUUUGUUAAAGAUUUAUCGCCUGAAGAGCAGCCUGCGGCAGAUUAGCUAGUUGGUAAGGUAACGGCUUACCAAGGCUACGAUCUGUAUCCGACCUGAGAGGGUGGUCGGACACACUGACACUGAAUAACGGGUCAG
rnacentral:rRNA from 1 species